CGGACGAUGCUAUUGUUGUUGAUAUUGGUGAUGUUGUUGUUGUUAAUGCUGAUAAUGUUAAGUUUCCCUGAAGGUAGGUGCUAUAUGAGCCACUUGGUGCUGGUUACUAGCAGGGUGCAUAGUCUUCCUCUUUACAGAGGGUCUUCUCUUGAUAUGGGAGGACAUAUCAUGUACCUCUCCCUCCUUCUUCUUUGCAAACGCCCCAUAAUGUUUUGCAAAAGAG
rnacentral:lncRNA from 1 species